rnacentral:rRNA from 1 species
GAUGAACGCUGGCGGCGUGCCUAAUACAUGCAAGUCGAGAGAACAGACGAGGAUCUUGCUCCUCUGACGUUAGCGGCGGACGGGUGAGUAACACGUGGAUAACCUACCUAUAAGACUGGGAUAACUUCGGGAAACCGGAGCUAAUACCGGAUAAUAUAUUGAACCGCAUGGUUCAAUAGUGAAAGACGGUUUUGCUGUAACUUAUAGAUGGAUCCGCGCCGCAUUAGCUAGUUGGUAAGGUAACGGCUUACCAAGGCAACGAUGCGUAGCCGACCUGAGAGGGUGAUCGGCCACACUGGAACUGAGACACGGUCCAGACUCCUACGGGAGGCAGCAGUAGGGAAUCUUACGCAAUGGGCGAAAGCCUGACGGAGCAACGCCGCGUGAGUGAUGAAGGUCUUCGGAUCGUAAAACUCUGUUAUUAGGGAAGAACAAAUGUGUAAGUAACUAUGCACGUCUUGACGGUACCUAAUCAGAAAGCCACGGCUAACUACGUG